AGACACCCUUCUGGGGCAAGACUUGCUUCAGUGGGGCUUUGGUGCUCACUGAGUCUUCCCCCUGAGUGUUUCCCU
rfam:Myotis lucifugus cont2.10298, whole genome shotgun sequence.